GGGUCUUUAACUCCUGAAGUUCAAUAGGAGCCAUUCGAUAUGGGGCUUUGGAAAUAGGUUUUGUACCGGGUUCAAGGUUGAUACAAAAUUCAAUUUCACGCUCUGGGGGUAGGCCAGGAAGUUCUUCAGGGAAUACGUCAGGAAAUUCAUUAACAAUAGAAAUAUCAUUCAAAACUGACGUAUUUUUGUUUAGAUCCGUGACAUGAGCUAAGAAAGCUUGACAUCCGUUUUUCAAUAAACGAAUAGCUUUAUGGCUUGAGAUGACAGUGAUUGAUUUUAAUGGUUUGGUU
rnacentral:lncRNA from 1 species